CCAACCUUACAUUUCUUUCGUCUGCCUCCCUAGAGCAAGACUCGUCAGUGAAAAGAGAAGGGAGAAGACAAGAAAGUACAAAGAGGAAUCUCUACACCAUCAACAUCCAAACCAAUACAAGAAUUUACGAUGGAAUAUGUCAGUGCAAAUGGUAUCGAGCACCAAAAUUAUUGUGUGAAUUCUGUGGAUUGCACAACCACAACUGGUGUAUCAUUUGUGGGUUGCAUAUUCAUGGAAUGGAUGGAUUGGAAGCCUUUGUUUCCUGGAAGAGAUCAUAUACAUAAGCUACGUAUUCUUGUGAAGGCUUUCUUAUUUGGAGGUUUGAAGCAAGUUUAAGGGCGCAUUAAGAAUUUUCUCAAGAGAGCAGUUUGAGAUUCUGAAGAGUAUGAAUUGGUUUACGUAGAAGACCCUGAGGAUGACUUUUAUUAGUUUUAGAUGAAAAGAAGUUGGCAAGCUAGCUACUUCUAGUUGUUAGUUUUAUUUACCUUUGUUCCCGCUGUUUCAAUUUGAGAAUAAAUAUA